CUGUGCUUUCUUUUCUCUUUCUCAUCUCUACGCAAUCCAGCUCUCUUCCUGUCUCUGUGCUUGGGGACUGAAUCUUGGAUCAGGAAUUCUCAAGGAUCCCAGCACCAGCUUUAAAGAAGCCACGAUCAGAGACGGUGCACGGCUCCCUGCGUUUGCUCUCCUCCAGCGUGUACCGGCUGCAGGGAGGGUGCUGGAAGGCGGCCCCCGUGGACAGCAGCCCCGGCCCUGACAUGCUGUGUUUUCAUCAGCUGUUUCUCUUCACAGACUGUUUGGACAUGCCACAGCAGAGCAGUCCCCCAGCCCCUCCUCUUUGCACACAACUGAACUGUCUGUUCAAUAAGAGAUGAUGAAUCACAUGGAAGGUAUAUUGUGCUCUCCUUCCUGAUCACAGACGUUCCACCCAGAUAAUUAAUCCAUGCUACAGCUUGUGGUGCUCUGACAUCAAAGGUUUGGUGAGUGGGGUGGCACUAUGGGAUGCCCUGCAAGAGAAUUCCAACACCCAGAGACAGGGAAUGGAGGCAGAUUCUCUUCAGGUGACUUGCUGACAGAUGUGUGCUUAAUUGUAAGUACUUGAAGGAGAUACAGACUGUUCCUAAUGGGGAAGACAAUUAAUUAUGAAAACAUAUUUGUUAUAUGAUAAACAAUAUAACAUUUCAAGUAUGUUUAAAUUAUGUGAGGAACCCAUAGGGCAUCACCGCUUGUCUAGCACAUGGGUUUUCAAAUAUUAUACUCAUUGAGCCUAUCCUAGGCAGUCAAGACAGGUGAAUCAUUUAUGUUAGUUGUGAUUGAAAAUGUUACCGCAAACAUCUUAAGCACAAUGUCUAAGCAAGUUUGAAAUGGACCACACAGACACAAGAAAUAAAAAUACUACCAUGAUUGACGGGCAGGCCAAAUUUAACCUGAACUUGACAGGCACAGCUCAAGUAGUUCAUCAACAAUUUGAUAAGGGUUUAAUAGUUUGAAAAGUUCCAUUAUUACAUUGUGGUAUAUUCUCCUCACAUCCUCUGGAGGGCGCUGUCUUCUCCAACAGCCUGGGUUCUACACAGCAAGUAGUGACCUAGGACAGGGUCAAGUUCAUCUGGACCUGGGGCGUGGUCACUGAAACAUGGCUUUUUCCAGGUCUGAACACCAUGCUUACCUGAAGCAGGCCCACACUGCUCCAGCCCCCCAGCUCCUUGCCAACUGACUUUAACCCAUGGGCAAGAAGAUCCUCACAUGUACUUCCAUCACACAAGAUACCACCAAAGUAAAUGAAGAGCCAUGCAGGGAAAUAUAGAAUUGGGAAAUAUACAGGCGGACAAAGCCAUGAGAUGUACCUGAGCCUGCUAAGUGAGCUCACACACAGCUGUGCCAUUUCUUCCCAUAAUCAUAUUUAUUGAUGAAGAAUCUUCAUUUAUCUGUGGUGAUUUUUAUUAGUGCCUCUAAAUAUGGCUAAAUUUCAGAAUUUUUGUAUUAUUAAAUAAUUUAAUUUAUUAAUUUAUUUUUGCUGUUUUGACCUAGUCACAGAGAACUAGCCAAUGUGUACCACCGGGGGGCAAUAUCUGACUAUUUUACAGAUCCACGCACUCUAAAACAUGGGUAUCCAGUUCUAUUGAAAAAGGGCUGCUGUGGGUGCAGGUUUUUGCUUCAGCCCAGCACUAAGAUACUGGAUUCUGUAUAUUAAG